CGCGGCCUAUCAGCUUGUUGGUGGGGUAACGGCCCACCAAGGCAUCGACGGGUAGCUGGUCUGAGAGGACGAUCAGCCACACUGGGACUGAGACACGGCCCAGACUCCUACGGGAGGCAGCAGUGGGGAAUAUUGCGCAAUGGGCGAAAGCCUGACGCAGCAACGCCGCGUGGGGGAUGAAGGCCUUCGGGUUGUAAACCCCUUUCAGCAGGGACGAAAAUGACGGUACCUGCAGAAGAAGUCCCGGCCAACUACGUGCCAGCAGCCGCGGUAACACGUAGGGGGCAAGCGUUGUCCGGAUUUAUUGGGCGUAAAGAGCUCGUAGGCGGUUGCGUAAGUCGGAUGUGAAAACUCAGGGCUCAACCCGGAGACGCCAUCCGAUACUGCGCUGACUAGAGUCCGGUAGAGGAGCAUGGAAUUCCUGGUGUAGCGGUGAAAUGCGCAGAUAUCAGGAGGAACACCAGUGGCGAAGGCGGUGCUCUGGGCCGGUACUGACGCUGAGGAGCGAAAGCGUGGGUAGCGAACAGGAUUAGAUACCCUGGUAGUCCACGCCGUAAACGUUGGGCACUAGGUGUGGGGCCUCCUUAACGGGUUCCGUGCCGUAGCUAACGCAUUAAGUGCCCCGCCUGGGGAGUACGG
rnacentral:rRNA from 1 species